GCGAACGGGGAGCAGCCCAGAGCCUGAAUCAGUGUGUGUGUUAGUGGAAGCGUCUGGAAAGGCGCGCGAUACAGGGUGACAGCCCCGUACACAAAAAUGCACAUGCUGUGAGCUCGAUGAGUAGGGCGGGACACGUGGUAUCCUGUCUGAAUAUGGGGGGACCAUCCUCCAAGGCUAAAUACUCCUGACUGACCGAUAGUGAACCAGUACCGUGAGGGAAAGGCGAAAAGAACCCCGGCGAGGGGAGUGAAAAAGAACCUGAAACCGUGUACGUACAAGCAGUGGGAGCACGCUUAGGCGUGUGACUGCGUACCUUUUGUAUAAUGGGUCAGCGACUUAUAUUCUGUAGCAAGGUUAACCGAAUAGGGGAGCCGAAGGGAAACCGAGUCUUAACUGGGCGUUAAGUUGCAGGGUAUAGACCCGAAACCCGGUGAUCUAGCCAUGGGCAGGUUGAAGGUUGGGUAACACUAACUGGAGGACCGAACCGACUAAUGUUGAAAAAUUAGCGGAUGACUUGUGGCUGGGGGUGAAAGGCCAAUCAAACCGGGAGAUAGCUGGUUCUCCCCGAAAGCUAUUUAGGUAGCGCCUCGUGAAUUCAUCUCCGGGGGUAGAGCACUGUUUCGGCAAGGGGGUCAUCCCGACUUACCAACCCGAUGCAAACUGCGAAUACCGGAGAAUGUUAUCACGGGAGACACACGGCGGGUGCUAACGUCCGUCGUGAAGAGGGAAACAACCCAGACCGCCAGCUAAGGUCCCAAAGUCAUGGUUAAGUGGGAAACGAUGUGGGAAGGCCCAGACAGCCAGGAUGUUGGCUUAGAAGCAGCCAUCAUUUAAAGAAAGCGUAAUAGCUCACUGGUCGAGUCGGCCUGCGCGGAAGAUGUAACGGGGCUAAACCAUG
rnacentral:rRNA from 1 species